UACAGAGGGGGCAAGCGUUGUUCGGAAUUACUGGGCGUAAAGGGCGCGUAGGCGGCCAACUAAGACAGACGUGAAAUCCCUCGGCUCAACCGGGGAACUGCGUCUGAUACUGGAUGGCUUGAAUCCGGGAGAGGGAUGUGGAAUUCCAGGUGUAGCGGUGAAAUGCGUAGAUAUCUGGAGGAACACCCGUGGCGAAGGCGGCAUCCUGGACCGGUAUUGACGCUGAGGCGAGAAAGCCAGGGGAGCAAACAGG
rnacentral:rRNA from 1 species